rnacentral:rRNA from 1 species
AGUGAACGCUGGCGGUAUGCCUAACACAUGCAAGUCGAACGGCAGCACAGUAAGAGCUUGCUCUUACGGGUGGCGAGUGGCGGACGGGUGAGGAAUACAUCGGAAUCUACUUUUUCGUGGGGGAUAACGUAGGGAAACUUACGCUAAUACCGCAUACGACCUACGGGUGAAAGCAGGGGAUCUUCGGACCUUGCGCGAUUGAAUGAGCCGAUGUCGGAUUAGCUAGUUGGGGGGGUAAAGGCCCACCAAGGCGACGAUCCGUAGCUGGUCUGAGAGGAUGAUCAGCCACACUGGAACUGAGACACGGUCCAGACUCCUACGGGAGGCAGCAGUGGGGAAUCUUGGACAAUGGGCGCAAGCCUGAUCCAGCCAUACCGCGUGAGUGAAGAAGGCCUUCGGGUUGUAAAGCCCUUUUGUUGGGAAAGAAAAGCAGCAGGUUAAUACCCCGCUGUUCUGACGGUACCCAAAGAAUAAGCACCGGCUAACUUCGUG